rnacentral:rRNA from 1 species
AGUGAACGCUGGCGGUAGGCCUAACGCAUGCAAGUCGAACGGCAGCACAGUAAGAGCUUGCUCUUACGGGUGGCGAGUGGCGGACGGGUGAGGAAUACAUCGGAAUCUACUUUUUCGUGGGGGAUAACGUAGGGAAACUUACGCUAAUACCGCAUACGACCUACGGGUGAAAGCAGGGGAACUUCGGACCUUGCGCGAUUGAAUGAGCCGAUGUCGGAUUAGCUAGUUGGCGGGGUAAAGGCCCACCAAGGCGACGAUCCGUAGCUGGUCUGAGAGGAUGAUCGGCCACACUGGAACUGAGACACGGUCCAGACUCCUACGGGAGGCAGCAGUGUGGAAUAUUGGACAAUGGGCGCAAGCCUGAUCCAGCCAUACCGCGUGGGUGAAGAAGGCCUUCGGGUUGUAAAGCCCUUUUGUUGGUAAAGAAAAGCAGCAGGUUAAUACCCCGCUGUUCUGACGGUACCCAAAGAAUAAGCACCGGCUAACUUCGUG